AUUGAACGCUGGCGGCAUGCCUAACACAUGCAAGUCGAGCGAGCGGCGGGCGGGUGAUUAAUGUAUGGGGACUGCCAGAUGGAGAGGGCUAACUACUGGAAACGGUAGCUAAUACCGCAUACUAUCGGAUAACCCAUAUGGGAUUAGCUAGUAGGGGAGUUAAUGGCUCACCUAGGCGACGAUCCCUAGCUGGUGUGGGAGGAUGAUCAGCCACACUGGGACUGAGACACGGCCCAGACUCCUACGGAGGCAGCAGUGGGGAAUAUUGCACAAUGGGCGAAAGCCUGAUGCAGCCAUGCCGCGUGUAUGAAGAAGGCCCUAGGGUUGUAAAGUACUUUCAGUCGGGAGGCGUUACCGACAGAAGAAGCACCGGCUAACUCCGUGCCAGCAGCCGCGGUAAUAC
rnacentral:rRNA from 1 species